rnacentral:rRNA from 1 species
AUUGAACGCUGGCGGAAUGCUUUACACAUGCAAGUCGAACGGCAGCACGGACUUCGGUCUGGUGGCGAGUGGCGAACGGGUGAGUAAUGUAUCGGAACGCGCCCAGUCGUGGGGGAUAACGUAGUGAAAAUUACGCUAAUACCGCAUACGAUCUAUGGAUGAAAGCGGGGGAUCGCAAGACCUCGCGCGAUUGGAGCGGCCGAUAUCAGAUUAGGUAGUUGGUGGGGUAAAGGCCCACCAAGCCAACGAUCUGUAGCUGGUCUGAGAGGACGACAAGCCGCAUUGGACUGAGACAAGGGUCAAGACUCCUACGGCAGCAAGAGGUGGGAAUUUUUGACCAAGGGGCGAAGGCCUGAUCCGGCCAUUCCGCGUGCGGGGUGAGGCCCCUCGGUUUGAAAACUGCUUUUGUACAGAACAAAAAGGUUUCAACUAAUACUAGGGGCUCAUGCGGUUACUGAAAGAAUAAGCCCCGGAUAACUACGUGCCAGCAGCCGCAGUAA